CGGCUGUUAACAUAAAGAGACUGAUUUGGAACAGGAUGAGGAACCCCAGGAGAAGCCUUGGCAAUAAUAUUCCGAUACUGCCCAUCCGAAUCAGUCACAGCAGACUGGUCAGACCUGAUUUAACUCUGAUGAAUAUUUCCUUCUUAUCCUUAAAUCUGAAAAAUGCUGACACAACCCUCUGAGGACUUUACUAGAGGAGGAAUGUCAGAACUAAUCUGCAGAUCCUGGCACACUGUCUGGAAAACAGGAAGUAUCCAGUAAAAGAUUCUAAAAAUGCUUCUUGGCAGUCUCCUACCUUGUAUUGUUCCAGAUGAGACAUCUGCUGUUGUCUUUGACUGCUUUAUUCAGACUGCUUUUAAGUUUUAACUUUUAUCUUUGGCUUUGAAAAUUUUUAUUAUGAUGUGUCUUACUGAAGUUUUCUUCAUGUUUUUCUCAUGCUUGGGAUUUGUUGAGCUUCUUGAAUCUGCCCGUGUGUAGAGUCUGUCGAAUCUGGAAAUUUGCAGCCAUUGUGUCAUAAAAUACUUUCCCUUCCUCUUUCAAGAAUAUCAAUCACACAUAGCCAUUUGACAUUGUCCCAUAGCUCAUGGAUGCUCUGUUUAUUUUGGCUUAGUUUAUUUUUUCUCUGUGUGUUUCAUUUCAGAUAGUUUUUAUUGUUCUAUCUUCAACAUCUCUAGCCUUUUCUUCAAACGUGUUUAUUUUUUUGUUAAUCUGUUAAUCCUAUCCAGUAUAUUUUUCAUAUUAGACAUUGCAUUCCUUUUUCAUAUAUUCCAUGGCUCUAUUUAUCAUGCUCAUAAUUUAUCUUCAUGUACAUUUAGAAUGUAAUAACAUUUUAUUGUCCUUGCUAUUAAUUCUAUCAUAUCUGUAACUCUGAGGUCUGUUUCUAUUAUUUUUUUUUUUACUACUUAAUGGGUCACAAUUUCUUGCUUUUUAAAAUACCUAGUAAUGUUUCAUUGGAAUAUUAGACAUUAUACAUUUUACCUGGUUACAUGAUAAAUGUCUUUCUGUUUCUUCAGAUAUUCUUGAAUGUUGUGCUAGGAGAGAGGCACAUUACUUGGAAGCAGUGUGAUCCUUUUUGGUAUGGCUUUUUUUAUUUAUAAGCUGUGUUAAGAGCAGAACUCAGUAGCAGGACUAAUUAUUUCCCACUACUAAGUCAGACUCCGUCUGAAUACUCCAACCAAUGUAGAAUUUUUCCAUUCUGUGAAUUAAUUUUCCACCCUGGCCAGUUAGAAUAUAAAUUAUUCUUAGUCCUAUGUGAAUGUUGAGAUGAUUUCUCUGUUCUUUUCAGGUUCUUUCCAUAGCCUCAGGUAGUUUCCUUAGAUGUCUGUGCCAAUCAACAUUCAACUGCAGACUUAAGGAAGACUCUGCAAAUCUCAUGGUCUGCCCCUUUGUACAGAUGUUUUCUCGCCAGUAUUCUGUGAUAUGAAUUCUAGCUGCCUUAGACUUACCAGUCACCUACUUUUGCCUCCUAAACUCAGAGAUACCUUCAUGCUUCACCUGGAUUACCUCUGAAAAGUAGCUCAAAAGUAUCUUCAGGCUAUAAUCCAGCAUAAUCACAGUGUUCACUUCAUUUGUCUCUCCUCUCUAAAGGAACACUGUUCUGAUAACCAAUAUAUGAAAAUGUGUUUUAACUAACUUCAUUUCAUUUUGUAGUUGUUUCAGUCAGAUAGGAAAAUAUAGACUCUAUUACUCUAUCCUGGCUUAAAAUGAAAAUUCCCCAGAGAUGUUCCAAUUAUUUGAAGAAAUUUUUGUUGUCUUUUUGCAAGCCUUCCUAUGGUUUGAAUACUUGUGUCCCUCCAAAAUUCAUGCUGAAAUGUAAUCUCCAAUGCAACAUUAUUAAGAAAUGAGUCCUUAGGAGAUGAUUAGGCCAGGAGGGCUUUGUCCUCCUGGAUUGGAUUAGUACCUGAAGAGAAUUAGCUAGGCCCUUUUGUCUUUCUGUCCCUUCUGCCAUGCAAGUACACAGUGGCCCUCACUGGACACUGAACCUGCUAGUACCUUUAUCUUGGAUGUUCAGCCUCCAGAAUUGUGAAAAAUAAAUUUCUGUUUAUAUAAAUUACCCUGGAUUCUGAUAUUUUGUUAUUGCAGCACAAAUGAACUAAUACAUAAAUUGGUACCAAGAAGUUAGGUAUUUCUAUAAUAAACACCUAGAAAAAUGAAAGCAGCUUUGGAACUGGGUGAUAGCUACAGGUUGAACCAUAAAGUGCUAUCUUGGGGAGAGCUCAGAAGAAAAGGAAAGCUGUAAAGAAAGCCAGAGAUUAAGUGGCUGUGAUUAGAACAUUGGUGAAAAUGUGAAGACAAUUCUGAUAAAGUCUCAGGUGAAAAUGAGAAACAAAGUACAGUAGUCUUUUAUCUGUAGAUUUUUUUCUGCAGUUUCAUUUACCCAUGGUUAACUUUGGUUUGGAAAUAUUAAAUGGAAAAUUCCCUUAAAAAAACUAUAAGUUUUAAAUUGGUUACCAUUGUGAGUAGCAUAAUAAAAUCUCUUGCCAUCCUGCUCCAUGUUCCAUCCUACCCUGGAUGGAAUCAUCACUUUCUACACAGUAUCCACACUACCUUUGCUACCUGCCUGUUAGUAACUUAGUCACUCUGAUUUGUCUCAAAAAUUAUUCACAGGCCUCAAGAUUUAAAGUUGUUUUCCUUGUGGGGUUUUAGACUUCC
rnacentral:lncRNA from 1 species